GAACGGGUGAGUAAUACAUCGGAACGUGCCCAAUCGUGGGGGAUAACGCAGCGAAAGCUGUGCUAAUACCGCAUACGAUCUACGGAUGAAAGCAGGGGAUCGCAAGACCUUGCGCGAAUGGAGCGGCCGAUGGCAGAUUAGGUAGUUGGUGAGGUAAAGGCUCACCAAGCCUUCGAUCUGUAGCUGGUCUGAGAGGACGACCAGCCACACUGGGACUGAGACACGGCCCAGACUCCUACGGGAGGCAGCAGUGGGGAAUUUUGGACAAUGGGCGAAAGCCUGAUCCAGCCAUGCCGCGUGCAGGAUGAAGGCCUUCGGGUUGUAAACUGCUUUUGUACGGAACGAAACGGCCUUUUCUAAUAAAGAGGGCUAAUGACGGUACCGUAAGAAUAAGCACCGGCUAACUACGUGCCAGCAGCCGCGGUAAUACGUAGGGUGCAAGCGUUAAUCGGAAUUACUGGGCGUAAAGCGUGCGCAGGCGGUUAUGUAAGACAGUUGUGAAAUCCCCGGGCUCAACCUGGGAACUGCAUCUGUGACUGCAUAGCUAGAGUACGGUAGAGGGGGAUGGAAUUCCGCGUGUAGCAGUGAAAUGCGUAGAUAUGCGGAGGAACACCGAUGGCGAAGGCA
rnacentral:rRNA from 1 species